rnacentral:rRNA from 1 species
GAUGAACGCUGGCGGCGUGCCUAAUACAUGCAAGUCGAGCGAACAGACGAGGAGCUUGCUCCUUUGACGUUAGCGGCGGACGGGUGAGUAACACGUGGGUAACCUACCUAUAAGACUGGGAUAACUUCGGGAAACCGGAGCUAAUACCGGAUAAUAUUUCGAACCGCAUGGUUCGAUAGUGAAAGAUGGCUUUGCUAUCACUUAUAGAUGGACCUGCGCCGUAUUAGCUAGUUGGUAAGGUAACGGCUUACCAAGGCAACGAGACGUAGCCGACCUGAGAGGGUGAUCGGCCACACUGGAACUGAGACACGGUCCAGACUCCUACGGGAGGCAGCAGUAGGGAAUCUUCCGCAAUGGGCGAAAGCCUGACGGAGCAACGCCGCGUGAGUGAUGAAGGUCUUCGGAUCGUAAAACUCUGUUAUUAGGGAAGAACAAACGUGUAAGUAACUGUGCACGUCUUGACGGUACCUAAUCAGAAAGCCACGGCUAACUACGUG